UAUAAAACAAGAUUCACUUGCGUAGACUAUAUAACCCCCUUCAAAGAAAAAUAUUUCCAGUCACAAACAUGCAUUCCUGGGCUGUAUUGUUCGCUUUGAUCAGUUAUUCAUACACUGCAUGUUCACUUGUAAUGUCUCCUUGUAAUGAGUUGCAAUUCGAUACAGUUGGCGAGUGCAUUCCAGAGUCAAGUCCUUGCAAUGGAACAGUCAUGCCGUCUUGGUAUAAAUGCGAAAGCGAGGAUCUAAAAUGUUGUUUCCGAGACAAAUUUUAAAUGCGACAACAACGAUUUUCAAUAUUGCUCAUUUUCUGAAGUAGAAAGAGAACUCUACCCCGAAUGGUUAUAGUGGGUAUUGUAAAAACUGUAGCUGCACAAUUAGCCCUCACAAAUUUUUCCAAAAUAAAUAAUGUAAGAAUAUAUAUAAAGAAUAAAAAUAAUGUCAUUGUUUUCGACGUUUUGAAUUUGUUUACUUUUACUGAGAAUAUUCGAGCUUUGAGAAACUGGGAUUAGAUUAUUCCUGACAAGGAACAACCUGAAGCGACCCAAAUAUUUCGGAGUUUUUGACUCAGGUCUUUCUCGAUAUUUUUUAAUUGCGUAAUUCCCACCAAUAAUUAGCUUCGCGUUUAGCUUCAGCUAUAGCUUAUAUAAGCUCCAUAAUUUUCGAUUCUGUAUCGAAUCAUUUUAGAUUCACUUGCGCUGACUAUAUAAGACCCUGCAAAGAAAAAUAUUUCCACCCACAAACAUGCAUUCCUGGGCUGUGUUGUUCUUUUUGAUAAGUUUUUCAUACUCCGUUCGUUCAAGCAUAGUUCCUUUAUGUGAGCAUAGGAGAGACUGGUUGGCCCAUUGCGUUCCAAAAUCAAAGCCAUGCAAAUUCAACAAAUAUUCAUUCUUACGUUGCGGAAAUGAUCCAACCGAUUCACUACAAUGUUGCUCAUCUGCGUGGGUGGCCUUUGAACCUGAUGAUUUAGAUAAUAAAUGAUAUAACAAACUAUUAUUUGGGACGUUUUGAAUUAGUUUACUAAUAUUAGUAGAAUAUUACAGCUGUGAGGAACUGAGAUCCGUGCUUAAUGCGAGGCCUUUCCCGUUAGGUGGAAACCAUAUUCCUGACAAGGAACAACCUGAAGCGACACAAAUAUUUUGGAGUUUUUGACUGAGCCAAGUCCAAGAUCUUUCUCAAUAGUUCUCUUCAUCACAUAAUAGACUUCGAGUCAAUUUUUUAAUUACGUAAUUCCCAACCAAUAAUUAGCUUCGCGUUUAGCUUCAGCUAUACCUUAUAUAAGCUCCAUAAUUUUCGAUUCUGUAUCGAAUCGUUUUAGAUUCACUUGCGUUCACUAUAUAAGACCCUGCAAAGAAAAAUAUUUUCAGCCACAAACAUGCUUUCCUGGGCUGUGUUGUUCUUUUUGAUAAGUUUUUCAUACUCCGUUCGUUCAAACAUGGUUUCUUUAUGUGAGCAUAGGAGUGACUUAAGCGCCGAAUGCGUUCCAAAAUCAACGCCAUGCAAAUUCUACGAAUAUUCAUUCUUACGUUGCGGAAAUGAUUCACUACAAUGUUGCUCAUCUGCGUGGGUGGAAAUUGAACCUCCUGAGUUUGGGUAGAAUUUGCCAUCUUCCGGAUGACUCAAAUGGUUUAUUUCCAACCAUUUUUUUUCUUUGAGAAGGACCCUCGAAGAAAAAUCAAAAUGUCUACAGUCAUCCCCAUGGAAGACACAUCUUCCCUUCAUCAUUUUAUAUACCUCAAGAUUACAUUUUUGAACAGCUCUAAACAGAUAAUUCCAACCGAAUGUCGGUUUCAUCUCGAUUUCUUCAUCGACGCGCAUUUUUAAUAGAUAAGUACCAAAAGAAUACAAAUGGUGCACCUCGUUAAUUCUAAAGGCUACAAUAAUUUUCAGGGAAGGACUAAUUCGGGUUUAAGAAUAAAAGAUUUUCUUUAAUGCCA